rnacentral:lncRNA from 1 species
AAGAAAUGCAGUGAAACAGUUUUUCUGGUGCUGCUUCCAGCUCUCAAACAGGGACUUUCUCUCCUGAAGUGGUCCCCCCACCUCAAUAGUUUGCAGAGAAUAGGAGAUUGUAUGUAAUGGGAUUCAGUCAAAGAAGUUCUCUAGUCCACUCUCGACUAUAUUUAGAAAAAAAAUAGUUCGUCGUCAGCAUAGGUCCUGUCCAUGUCUGUGUCCUCAAUAAAUUAGCAAUUUUCAGAAAACUAUGCCUAUGAGAAUGGGAAGAAAUAGACCAAGAAGCAGGGAGACUUAGAUUGUGCUUACACCACAUAAUUUUGUAAAGUAUGCCUAGACAAGCACAUUCCCACCCACUCACCAUUAAAAAUUAACAAUAAAAAGGAAAAGUGGUAGAAUCUGAGGCACAUUUUGGUUCACUAAUCUAAAUAAUAAGCACCUUAAUCUUUCUCCUUAUCCUUCACUUUCUUUCUUUCUUUUUUUUUUUUUUUUUUUUUCCUCUUUACCAUUCCUUUGUUGUUAAGUGGUGGCAAUUGGUGGUAUAGUUUAUCUAAGAUGGUCACACAAUUACUCAACCUGUCUAUUCUCUACAAAGAAAGUGAAAGUAUUGCCUGUUUCUAAACAAAGAAGAGCUAAAUGUCUUUGGUUUGAAUUGGACAAGAUGAUGCCAAUAUUUCCAUCUCCAGACUCUGUCUUUACAGAUUUUAGACUUGAGUUAUCUGUUAGAAGUCAUGAAGCAACUCAGCAGGUCUAAGGACUGUGAUUAGGAAAAGGCAUGACCUGGUGGAAGCAACACUGGCCACUCAAUUCACUGAACUUGUACCUAAAUCUUAGCCUAGGCAUUUAUGAGCCAUAUGAUAUGAGACAAUUUUUUAACCUUUCUACGUCUCAAUAGGAGCCAUAGAAUUGAUGUAAGGGUUGGAGAUAAGGUAGGAAAUCAUGUGGCAUAAUAGAUGCUGUAUUAUUCACCUGUAUCAUUAUGUUAGGCAUACCUCUCUUACUUAUAGAUAAAGUAAAAAUCAAAGUUGCUCUAAAGAAAAGCAAUGUAAAACCAAAUCUAAACUGUUGUGGAUACAAGGUAAUAACCAUGGUUAUGUAUCUGAUGCUCAGUUUUGUUUUUAAUAGGAUGACAGAAAACAUUACAUUUGAGUGACUGUAUCUCAAAUGUUAGACAUCAAAGCUAGAUCAGAGUUUCUCUAAGUGUGGAUUGAGAUCCAUUUACAUAAGAAUCUUUUGAGAACCUUGCUAAAAUGCAGAUCUCUAGACCUAUCUGAGACUUGCUGGAGAGUAAGUCAUGUGAUUUCUAUGCCCAUGAUAGUUUAAAAACCACCAAUUUUGUGAUGCCAAUUGUAAAAAAUGUUUCGAACCCCAGUUAAUUAGUGCAUUAUUUCAAAGAUAAUCCAAUUUUGUCUAAUAGAGUAUCAUAAUGUACUGUUACUGAUGCUGGUACUAUAGUUACAUUACUUACAUUAUGAUAUAAUGUAACAUUUCAUUUCUGAUAUAACUCAUUGGAAGGUAAGUCAUAGAAUAAUGUUCUACUUUCAACUUGGUGCCUAAGCCAGUUCUACUGCUCACCAGCUAUGAGUUUUGGGGAAAGACCUUUAACCUCUUAUUAAGUUCUAGUUUUCUAUUUAUCUCACAGUUCCUUCCUCAUAGGAUUGUUAAAAGGAUUGAAUGAAGUAACACAUCAGAUAAGCCUUAGGCUGUAAAAGUUUUGUGUUAUUAUCAAAAGAAUGAAUACUUCAUGAAAAUUAUGUUAACUCAGAAAGAUUCUUUGGUGGAGAUUCGAUUAGCAUCUUUGCAAUUUUUUUUUUUAACUUGUGAGGAAAGGCAAUCUGGAUGGUUUUCUUUUCCUACUACUUUUGGACUGAAGGAUGUAUUUAUCCAAGUGCUGGGAAUGCAGGCAGCAGAGAACCCUUAGCCAUCUGCCUCUAUAGGGAGUGCCUUGGCCAAGACGACUUUCUUUUUCCAGAAAGGCCCACUUUCAAUGAUGGAUCAUUGUGGGAGUACAUAGGCCCAGGCCCCUUAGCAGACUUAGGACAACACUGAAGGGCCACACCAUCUCCAGAACUUCCUGUUGAUUCUGAGGUCUUGAUUGAGAUAGUCUCACAGGUUCCCUUAUCCCUCUCCCCAGUUCUGCUGCCUUUUAUUCCCUCCUCCAGAGAGUGCUCUCAGGAACCAUUUAUAACAUACUUCUGCGUGAAUGUCUCUGCUCUCCAGGGAGCCUGACCUGAGAUAGGUAGGCUUAUGAAAACAGCAGUUCCAAAGUGCUAUACACAUUUAAGGUACCUAAUCAUUAUAACACCACAUUAAUAAUCGAAUAGUCCUUAGCAUGUACUUAUAUUAAUCCCCUAAUGCUUUUAGUUAUGACACUAUAACAGGAAGCAUAUAAAAAAAAAAUCCAGCAUAACAGGGAGUGCUGGAGGAACACAGGUGAGGAAUCAAGAAAAUGAGAGUUCCUACUGUGGCACAGCAGAAACAAAACUAACUAGUAAUAAUGAGAUUGCAGGUUCAAUCCCUGGCCUCACUCAGUGGGUGAAGGAUCUGGUGUUGCCAUGAGCUGUGGUGUAGGUUGCAGAGGUGGCUCAGAUCCUGUGUGGAUGGGGUAUAGGCUGGCAGCUGAAGCUCCAAUUCUAUCCCUAGCCCUAACCCUCCAUAUGCUGCGGGUGUGGCCCUAAAAAGCAAAACAAUAAAUAAAUAAAUAAAUUUUUAAAAUAAAAUGGGUACUAUCUACCUCUCAAGCUAUCGUGAGUUCUAAUGUAUUGAUGAAUAUACAUGUUACUUAUCCAGCUUUGAAGAAAUGAACUGAGCUAUAAAAAGGGCCACCGCUUUGACUGUAAAGUUAUUCCUUGUUGAAAAUGCCAAAUUCAAGGGUGAAGAGGACUGAAAGCCACCCUGAGGGCUCUAACAGAGGGAUGUCUAUGAAGGGGAAGGGACUCAUUUUAUAACUAGUCUAUCCAAAGGAAUAUCUUUUUGCAAGGUACAUCUUCAUCCAUGACCUCAAAUUCAGUAGAAAGAGCAGCCAAAUGAGUCAUAUUUUUAAAUAUCUGGGGGCCUAGAUUCACCAAGCAAUCACAUGUAAUCAUAUACUCUAUGGGAUAAGUAAUCAUAUACUCUAUAGGACAGAAAUAUCAAUUUAUUUUAUAAAUGAAGAACUGAAAGGCUCAUGGAUUUGCCCAAAUUCUCAUAGCUUCUUAGUAGCAGAGAUGGGACUAAAACCUACAUUUUUUGGUUUUCAAUUUCAGUGUUUUAAAAUUGCAUAUUGAUACAGAUAUAGUUAUGACUAUGCGUAUUUCUAAAUCUGAGAAGAUUAUAUUUCAAUAUGUAAGAGACGUUUGUUUAAUAAAUAUUUACAAAUUCCUUCCUAUGGACAAAGCCCUGGAAGAUGAUGAGAGUAGAGAAAAAAGGCACAAUUUCUGUUGUUCAGGAACUCCUGAACUGAAGGAAGAGGGAGAUAAGGAAACCACACUUACACCUUGUCUGGUAAGAACUGCGAUAAAGUGUGUAAGGACAAUCAAAGAAAAUGCUUAUCAGCUUGAGUUCAUCCAGGAAAUAGUGAUAUGCUUCUGGUUUGAAGAAUGAAAUGGUGAAAGCUACAUGGACAAAGACUUGAAUUAGCAAAACUGCAAAUAAUUCGGCAUAAGUAAGGAGUGCAUAGAUAUGGUUAAAAUGGCGGGAGGCCAGGCUGAAGAUUUGAUCAGGUACUAAAGCUCUAAAAACAAUGUAGUUUGUACUUUAUCUUGAAGACAGCACCUGCCAAUGAAGGAAUAUUAGCAAGAUGGUAUUUGAGUUUUAGAAAGAUCGCUAUGAACAAUGGACCUGGAUCAGAGACACUGAAGUUCAAAAGACCAAGUAAGAAAAUUGAAGCAAAAAUCUAGAUGACCUGUUCAUUUAUAUUGACACUGAUUUCUCCUUCCCAUGAGGAUGAAUUAAUUUUAAUUUUGAAGCAAUGGCGUAGAGAAAAUUUUACUUUGAAAAGAAGAAAUGACUAUGACAAAUGUUUAGUUUCAGUAGCCUUCAAGACCACACCUAUGGAACAUGAGAUCACAGAAGUCUUAGAAAUGAAGACAAAUGCAUAAUUUUUUCUCUGAAAUGUUACAUACACACACACACACACACACACACACACGCCAUGCAAUGGCAUUUCCUUACCUGUGAGGUAUAGAAUAUAAACACAGUAGAGAUCUGUCUUCUCCCUUUCUGUGCAGCUCUCCAUCAACUAUCAGAGGUGUAUCCUGCUCAGGAUCCACUUUUCACAUACUGUAUUUCACCUGAACAUUCGUGGUGUGAGCAUCUCUAUGACACAAGAACAAAAUGGGAAAAGAUUCAGUAGCAUUUAUCAAGCACUUCAAGCUUUCCACUACUAGGCAAUUUAAUACAUUUUAUUUCAGUGAAUCCUUUCAAAAGUUCAUAUAACAUAAUGAAAAAGCUGGGACUCAGCAUGAUACCAUUUGCCCAAGAAAAGAGACCCAUUCCACGCAAAACUGAACCGGUCCCAACAUGCAGGUCCAUAGGAUGUCUUAAGGUUUAUACCUGAGUAGAUAUCGUCCCUGGAGUUACAUAAUUUCCUGUCAAGUGAACAGACUGUCCAAUCAGAAGAACCUGUAAUGUGCCUCAAUAUGAUCAGCAAGAGCAAUUUGCCUUCUUUCUAGAUCAGCAUAAGGAUGUGAAGCGUACAGGUUCUGAAGUUAGACAUACCCGGGAUCAGAUCUCAGGUUUGAAACUUGCUUCCUGGGUGACCUUAGGCAAAUUACAUAAUCUUUCUAAGCCUCAACUUUCUCAUCUAUAAACUGGCAUGAUCAUAGUGAGCUCCUUACGAGGGACUAUUUGGAGGAGUUAAUGUGUGAGGGACUUAAAACACUAAGGAAACUAUCUGGCACAUGGUAACUGCUUAUGUACGUGACCUAAUACGUGUUACCUUUUUAAUGACUUUCCAUUUUACUGAUUCUGCCAUAGAAGAAUCAGCUCAUUUGGGGUGUGAAUUUACAUCAAGAUUAAUGGGAUUUUCCACAGUUAGCUGAAAUUUUUAUGUCUGUGAGAAAAAUCACUUGGAAGUAACAAACUUUGUCUCCAAUGUCUUUUCUCUCCUGUUUCUGUAGGGAGGAACUGAUGGGCUUUUUGCUGCUCAAUUUAUUUGGACUCCAUAAUCCUUUUUUAUUGCUUUGCUUUGCUCAAUAAACCUGAGGGAUUUUGUUCACAUUUCCACUACAGAGUGUGUGGUGCUCCGACGAUGGAAAAUAAGACCUGAGUUAGAAUGUAACAGGGCCAUAGCUGUAGAGACACCCUUUAAUCUUCCUAGGCCUCAGUUUCCUCUUAGGUUAAAAUGAGUUCUAGCCUACAUAUCUCACCACUAUUAUGAGGACCAAAAGAUAGAGUAGCAGUCGUGGAGUACCUUAUAAAGCUUAAAGUUCUGUAAAAAUGAAAUCUACUUUCAUUAUUUUAUUGCUGUUAUAUAAUAAGGAAGAAACUAUAGAUAAAAUGAUCACCCACCUGUUCUAAUAGUUUGCUCCUGUGGAAUGGAAUUACUUAAAGAGCAUGUUUAGUUUGAAAGUAACAUUCCUUUAGAAAGAGCAAGAGAAUGAUUUAUUUAGAAUCUGUGGCUGUUUUGUUAAACUUCAUUGGAAAGAGAAAGAAGCAGAGGGUUGGCAAUGAUGAAUAUUGGGGACAUUAAUGAGGAAAAAUCCACACCCACCUGCUUUGGUUAAGCUUGUACAUAUUUAAUUAUAGAAUCUGAAGAAGGAGCAUCAGUAUUGAGGUGAGGAUGUGUUUUAAGAGACCAA